GACGAACGCUGGCGGCGUGCUUAACACAUGCAAGUCGAACGGAAAGGCCCCCACCUUGGUGGGGGUGCUCGAGUGGCGAACGGGUGAGUAACACGUGGGUGAUCUGCCCUGUACUUCGGGAUAAGCUUGGGAAACUGGGUCUAAUACCGGAUAGGACCAUGGUUUAGUUUCUCAUGGUGGAAAAAUUAUUGUUUUGGUGCAGUAUGAGCUCGGGGCCUAUUAGCUUGUUGGUGGGGUAAUGGCCUACCAAGGCGUCGAAGGGUAGCCGGCCUGGGAGGGUGGACGGCCAGAAUGGGACUGAGAUACGGCCCAGCUUCCGACGGGAGGCAGAAGUGGGGAAUAGCGAACAAUGGGAGCAAGACUGAUGAAGCGCCGCCGAGUGGUGGAUGACGGCCGUCGGGUUGUAAACUCCUUUCGUUAGGGACGAAGCCACACCUUUUUUGGGUGUGGUGAAGGUAACUUUGUUAAGAAGCACCGGCUAACUACGUG
rnacentral:rRNA from 1 species